rnacentral:rRNA from 2 species
UCAUGAUCUUUGUUUUAAUGUUGGCAUACAACUUUGAUUUAAAUAAAAAAAGGGACGAACGGACAACUAGGAUGGACCAAACAGGACGGAAAGACCGAAAAGGCGAGGGAGAGGCUUAGAAAUCGCAUGUCCUAGCGGAAACGCAGCAAAAAGAACUGGGAAGUGAAACAUCUCAGUACCAGGGCCGGCCUCUAUAAGAUAUCUUAAGGGUCUGUGGCGCAGAGAAAUCAAACGAAACCCCGUGAGUAGCGGUGAGCGAAAGUGGGUUAGUCCAAUGACUUAUUUAAAGCGAGUAAAUAAUGGAAGAUAGGUGCCCACACAUCUAAGACUAAAUGUUGGUCUCAUACCGAAAGAGGUAGUACUGUAAAGGAAAGUUGAAAGAGAUUUUAAAAGAUCUUGAAAUGAGUCCCUUAAAGCAGUUGUGAUACAACGUACCUUUUGUAUAAUGGGUUCACAAGAUAAAAUUUGGCAAACUUAAGUUCUAAGGAACGAAGGUGAAGUGAAAUCAAGGGGUUAGAUCCCUUUAGUCAAAUUACCCGAAACCAAGUGAUCUAACUAUGGACAGCCCAAAGGGGCGAACCGGUGGUUGUAGCAAAAACCUCGGAUGAUCCGUGGUUAGGGGUGAAAGACCAAUCGAACUUGGAGAUAGCUGGUUUUCUGCGAAAACUAUUGAAGUAGUGCGCCUACAACAUUAGAGCCCUUAUCGGGAACACACCGAGACACGGGGGAUUUAUUUUUUCAUGGUAAAGUCCGAUCCCUCGAAAUGGAGGGAUUAACUAUGAAUGUAAAAAAAUCGAAGUGGGUAGACAGACAGUAGGCGAUAAGGUCAAUUGUCAAAAGGGCAAGCCCUAAUCAGAAGUUAAAGUCAUAGAUUGAUUUUAGGUCCAAAAGGAUUAAAACAGUCAAGUGAAAAAGAGAGAUUGGGUUUAGACAAUGAGGAAGUAGGCUUGGAGCCAGCCACCUUUGAAAGACGACGUAGCAGUUCACUCAAGGAACUCUCCUAUCUCUAAAAUUAGGGUGGCUAAAUUUGAACUGAAACUCUGAAGGCGAAGUUCGCCUGGUAGCAGAACGUACUGUGGCAUGGCUCAGUGAGGGCCCUAAGCAUCAGAAAUGAUAAUGUGAACAUGAGUAAAAAAUCGUAGGAUCACUUCCCCAGGUUUCCAAGCCCUCGGGCUUGGGUUAUACAGCCCCUAAGACGGCCGCCCAAAGGUCGCAUCGAUGGGCCAUAGUAAUAGACGCACUUAGUGCCAGGAAAAAAUUACUAGACGUUAGACCCUCUCGUCUCUAUCCCUAUAAGAUGCGAGUUAUAAGGCUACGCUGUACCAACCUAACACAAGUGGGGAAUAGUGAGGGGAAAAGUUUUCUUAAGGAACUCGGCAAACAUUUGGACCACCCCAUUAGGGGGUUGUUUUAUAACACAGGGCCUCGACUGUUUACCAAAAACAUAGCUCUCUGCUAAUAUGAAAGUAGAAGUAUGGAGGGUGAGGCCUGCCCAAUGGUUGUAUCUAAAAGGGUCGGUAAGGGCCGACUACAUAAAGACAAUUGAAUGGCCGCGGUAACACUGACCGUGAUAAUGUAGCGUAAUCAAUAGCCAAUUAAUUGUUGGCCGGUAUGAAUGGCGUCACGAAGGCCCCACUGUCUUAAGAAGACUCCCAGUGAAAUUGAAUUCGUAGUGAAGAUGCUACGUCCAAAUUGUUAGACGAAGAGACCCCAUUGAGCUUUACUGGAAACUUAUGCGGCGGCAAUCUAUUUCGCUUAUAAAGACGGACCUCGACAGGACCUAUUAAGAGCGAGGAGUUUAAACUUAAAUAAAUAGCUAAAAUUUCGUGGCGUAAGGCAUUUCGUCAGGGUCUUGUCCCUCGAUCCUACUCUCAUAGAGAGAUAACCGUUUUAGACCAUCGGCUGAGGCCGAAGGACAAUGGCACCCACCCUUUUAUUUUAAGAGAGCUAACUCUCUUUCAUGGUUUUUUAAUGAUGGGAGGAACGACGUAAGUUAGACAGUUUGGUUGGGGCGACCGCCUUUUAAAAAGUAACGAAGGUGAGCUUAAGGUGCAUAAUUAAUAGCAGUAGCCUGACUGCAAGGGGUACGCCCCAAGCAGACACCAGGAGCCGUUAAGAACCAUCGUCCGACCCGGGCCUUUUGGCCUCCUGGGCGGUUGCUUAGAGCGGUAGAAGGUGGGCUAUAAUGACCCGUUAAUUUAGAGUGGGAUAGUUAACGAUCAACGGAUAAAAGCUACCAUGGGGAUAACAGCGUUAUAUCGUUCGAGAGCUUUCAUUGACGACGAUGUUUGCGACCUCGAUGUUGAAUUGCAGCAUCCUGGGGUGCAGUCGCUCCCAAGGGUUGGUCUGUUCGUCCAUUAAGGCUGUACAUGAUUUGAGUUAAAAGCGUGGUGACACAGCUUGGUUUCUAUCUACAAUUUGAAGAAACAUCGAUACAAUUAUUUUCUAGUACGAAAGGACCGAAACAUUAAUGAUCCUCUUAUUUUUCUAUAAGUUACGAUCAAUUUAGAUCCUUUUGGAUCAGGGCCUCAUGGGAGGUUUUCAGCUAAUCACUGACCGCCUCUAAAGUGUGAAGGAUAUAUCGAAUUGUUUGGAUUUUAUUUAUAGAGAAUAUAUUU